rnacentral:rRNA from 1 species
CUCCAGACUCCUACGGGAGGCAGCAGUGGGGAAUAUUGGGCAAUGGGCGCAAGCCUGACCCAGCAACGCCGCGUGAUCGAAUGAAGGCCUUCGGGUUGUAAAGAUCUGUUGACAGGGACGAAUAAGCAAUGCGAAUAGUUUUGUGUAUGACGGUACCUGUUUAGAAAGCUCCGGCUAACUACGUGCCAGCAGCCGCGGUAAUACGUAGGUGGCGAGCGUUGUCCGGAUUUACUGGGCGUAAAGGGCGUGUAGGCGGGACUGCAAGUCAGAUGUGAAAACCAUGGGCUCAACCUGUGGCCUGCAUUUGAAACUGUAGUUCUUGAGUACUGGAGAGGCAGACGGAAUUCCUAGUGUAGCGGUGAAAUGCGUAGAUAUUAGGAGGAACACCAGUGGCGAAGGCGGUCUGCUGGACAGCAACUGACGCUGAGGCGCGAAAGCGUGGGGAGCAAACAGGAUUAGAUACCCCAGUAU